UACGAAGGGGGCUAGCGUUGCUCGGAAUCACUGGGCGUAAAGGGCGCGUAGGCGGCCGAUUAAGUCGGGGGGUGAAAGCCUGUGGCUCAACCACAGAAUUGCCUUCGAUACUGGUUGGCUUGAGACCGGAAGAGGACAGCGGAACUGCGAGUGUAGAGGUGAAAUUCGUAGAUAUUCGCAAGAACACCAGUGGCGAAGGCGGCUGUCUGGUCCGGUUCUGACGCUGAGGCGCGAAAGCGUGGGGGAGCAAACAGG
rnacentral:rRNA from 1 species